rnacentral:rRNA from 1 species
CACGAACGCUGGCGGCGUGGAUAAGACAUGCAAGUCGAACGGGACAAGUAGCAAUAUUUGUCUAGUGGCGAACGGGUGCGUAACACGUGGGCAACAUGCCUGGAAGAGCGGGAUAGCCCGGGGAAACUCGGAUUAAUACCGCAUGUGACAACGGGGCGGAUUCGCCCUGUUUUCAAAGGUGGGGACCGCAAGGCCUGCCGCUUCCAGAUUGGCCCGCGUCCUAUCAGCUAGUUGGCGGGGUAACGGCCCACCAAGGCGACGACGGGUAGCUGGUCUGAGAGGACGACCAGCCACACUGGAACUGAGACACGGUCCAGACACCUACGGGUGGCAGCAGUCGAGAAUCUUUCACAAUGGGGGAAACCCUGAUGGAGCGACGCCGCGUGGAGGAUGACGGUCUUCGGAUUGUAAACUCCUGUCAUGAAAGAACAAGCGGAGCGGGUGAACAGCCCGCCGAGUUGAUAGUAUUUCAAGAGGAAGGGACGGCUAACUUCGUGCCAGCCGCCGCAGUAAUAC